ensembl:lncRNA
CCGGAGGUUCCUCAAGUGUGUGGGAGAUAACUUCCUGACACAGCUGGUGAGGGAGCCGACAAGGGGAAGCAAUAUCCUGGACCUGCUGUUUGACAACAGAGAAGCUGCAGGACCUGACCAUCCCCAUGUCACAGAAGAUGAGCCGACAGGCAAGGAGGCUGGUCUGGCUGAACAGAGACCUUUGGCUGGAUCUCAAGAACAAAAGGAAAGUUUAUGGUCUCUGGAAGAGUGGGCAAGCUACUUAUGAGGAUUACAGUCACAUAUAUCAGCAGUCAAGAUCCACAUCCAAUUCCACAAGGCUCUUACCAGCAUGCAAGAUCCAACCUCAAGAGGACUAACUGCAACAAUCAAAAUUGAUUUUCAACCUUAUUCUACUUAUCAGAAAACAAGACAUAUCCAUUAAACUAAGAUAUACUGGAGGUGAGGUAUAUUAUGAGAAUUUGUACCUAAGUAUCCUGAUUUUCAUUGCCUUGUCUGAAACCGCGAAAGUGUGAAAAGCAAAGCAUGAUCCAAGACUGUUACCACAACCAACGAGCUUCAGCUAGGAUGUGGCUAAACCUUUAUUCUAUGUGCAACUUGCAAUAAAUGCUACUUUUCUCUUCUAAAGUCAUUCAGCCAGCUCAUCAUCAUGAUCUGUCAUUAUAUCUAUCAUUAUAUCUAUCAGAUAUCUUUAAUUCAGUCAAGAGAAGUUGUUAGCUAAUGGAAGGGAAAGGUGGAGAAGGAUUCUAAACCAAUUUGUUGGGACAGAUUCAUACAGGAUUGUCCUCCUGUCUACGAACAUGUGAAACUGCAAAUAUUGCUAUCAGUUCUCAACAAUAAACCUAAUCUAAAUUGCACUGUUUUCCUACCUCAUUUUAGCACUGCAAGAUAGCCAAAGCUUUAAAGAACUCAUCAGCCAUCUGUGCCUGCAGGUGUUUACAACAUAGAAUAAAUUAAGAAGUGACAAGUCAUUGAGAAGGUUACAGUUGAAUAAUUACCAUGGAAAACUCAACAUCUUAUGCACCGUUUCAACUACUGAAGAUGGAGUAUCCUUCUCUGUCCUUUUAAAAUCAGUUGCCACUCUUGUUUAAGUUGUCUGAAGGACAUCUCCCUCCAUCAAAUACAAAACACUUGCAGCAAUUAAGCCAUGUCAAUACUUGCACUAACGAGUUUGUAUUUUUUUUCUUUUUGAUUUAAUUGAUGCAACAAAUUCAGUUAUCAAUGUUGAGAGCAAAGACAUCUGCUUAUUUCCAUCAAAGACAGCUUUCCCUGUGAGAACAUCUUCUGUCUCUAGCUGUUGCAUUUCCUCUCCAAAAAAUGUUAUGAAAUGUUCAGUUCCAACACGUUAAAGAGAAAUAUGUUGAAAUAUAUGGAUUCAAAGACAUCCCAAGCCCUACAUCCUGAAUAAACUUCAAGUUUACUUAAGCAUUAUAAGUCUUCAUCACAGAAUGUGCACAUGUAUCGUCAUAACAAUACAAAACAAAAACACAAGCAUCUUAGAU